rnacentral:lncRNA from 1 species
UAAAGAAAAAAAACAUUUUAUGUGACUAAGACUAAGGAAUGUAGAGAAAAAAAAGAAACCCAUGUUUGUCCUUUUCUCCUUGAGAGCCCUAGACCCCCUCUCUCCUCCUCGGGUACCCCAGACUUUCUAUCAACCUGCCUAGGAAUUGACUCUCUCAGGAGCCCAAGAAAAUAAGUAUGUCAUUGUUUCCAUUUUUUCUCCGUCUAUUUGCAAUGAAGUGAUGGGACCAGAUGCCAUGAUCUGAGUUCUUUGACUGGUGAGUUUUAAGCCAGCUCUUUCACUCUCCUCUUUCAUCUUCAUCUAGAGCCUCUUUACUUCCUCCUGCUUUCUGCCAUUAGAGUGGUGUCAUCUGCGUAUCUGAUGUUAUUGUCAGUGUUGACCUGAUCUUGUUAGUGUUAUUAGUAUUAGUGUUGUUUGUGCUGACCUGAGUUUGUUGUAUUACUGGUAGAGUUCCCCAAACUGAGGGAGCAAAUAUCUUCCCUGCCAUGGGAACUCUGUAUAGUGAGACAGCAUUUUUGGAAUUUCUCCAAAUUCCUGCAGAGUUAGUUCUUCUCCUGAGAGGGUGUAUAGAACAUGUCUUCAUAAAGAAAACAAACAGCUUUUUUUUUUUUUUAAGCAGCCAGAGUCUGGAACAAAUAUGGACUUGAACACCAAAGAGUAGGGAGUGACAUAUGAGCACAAAGCUUAUGUUGAAACUGACUCACUUCUCAGAAGAUAACAGAGUUGCAAUGUCCUGAUUAGUCACACCCCCUACUCUGCUCUAAUGGUGAUUACAAAAGCCAUACUGUUUUUAUGGGCGACACCCAAUGAGCCAGACUAAACAGGAGGAAUUAAGGGAGUGUUUAAACAGGAGUGCCGAAUGAUGACACCAGCCUCCUUGCUUCAGAGAACUUAUACCAAUUGCAAGCCCAGCAACCCGGAGCAAAGUGGGGGAAACCAACUCUUUGAAGGAGCUUAAGUAAUCAAGUGACAUGAAACACAAGAUGCAGAGGGACUGAAGAUCCAGAUGGUUCUGGAAGUACCCAGCAAGAUGAGCCACUGAGAGAGACAGGGUUUCUCAUCCUAGCUUUUAGGGAGCUAAGCUCAUGUACUUUUCCAUGCUGAUUUCUUUUCUUUUUUACAAAUCAUUUCUUUUUCACUAAUUCUUUCCUCAUUUGUUUCCAUUUUUCUCUGUUGCCUUUGCUCCAUUCAUAAUCGAGCAAACCAAAUAAGUACCAAGUGUAAGAAGUUGACAGAAAACAAAUGAAAACCAUAUAUGCUUUUGUGGUGGAGGGAUCUUCAUUG